rnacentral:lncRNA from 1 species
GGUUAUCAUGCCUUGAUUAUGGCAAAACCAUCUUCAUCCACAGUUGACAGUUCGGUCUUUAAAGACAGGUUUACGUCUCUCUAAUCUACAGUAAUCUUACAGUAACAUGAGUAGUAUCCACAGCUAUCCACACCUGGCCACACGCGUCCGCACCUGUUGCUCGAGAUCAAUUCUAAAACUUCUUCAAAGUCUCCAAAGAAACAGUUAGUUACAAACCAAGUGUCCAACCUCAAUCAACUUCACGGCACACACACACACACACAUACAAGCACACACAGCACACACAGCACACACACACAGAGACCACUUCACAUAGAGGGAUCCGCUCUCCGUGCAUGACUUCAUCAGGCAGUGACCCUUACCCAGUUUGAACAUCAUUAGCAUCAGCAGCAGGAUCCUGUUAAACUUUGAGAACGCUCGCCCAAACUCCAUGCUCCAGACUAGUCCGCAGCGCCCAGAGACCCAAAACUUUAGAACAGCGAUCGCUCCAUAAGAUACACCUCCAGCAUCCUCAAUGGACCAGUCUCCCUCUCUCUUUCUUUCGCUCUCUCUCUCUCCCGCUCUGUCUCUCUCCUUCUGUUUCUCUCUAACUCUUUCUCUCCCCUUCUUUCUCUCUCUCUCUCUCUCUCUCUCAGUUUUUCUCCUUCUCUUUAUCUCCCUCUCUCUCUGUUUUUUUCUCUCUCUCUCUCCCUGUCUCCGAGUUAUCACUGAGCUCUGGUGGUGUGUCCGCUGAGGUGCCCCAUGCUUUGAACACAGUGAGAGUACGGCGGGACGGAGAGUCUGGCUGCAAUGGGCCAGUGACACCACAUACCCCGAGGCCCGGCCCACUCCUCCUUAACACACACACACACACACACACACACACACACACACACACACACACACACACACACACACACACACACACACACACACACACACACACACACACACACACACACACACACACACACACAUACACACACACACACACACACACACACACACACACACACACACACACACACACACACACACAAGCCCCGGCCCACUCCUCCUUA